rnacentral:pre_miRNA from 1 species
CAUAUACUCCCUCCGUUCGGAAUUACUUGUCUCAGAAAUGAAUGUAUCUAGAACUAAAAUACGUCUAGAUACAUCCAUUUCUAUGACAAGUAAUUCCGAACGGAGGGAGUAUAUU